GACGUAGGAUGCAAGCGUUAUCCGGAAUUAUUGGGCGUAAAGCGUACGUAGGCGGUUUCUUAAGUCUGGGGUUAAAGACCGAAGCUCAACUUCGGGAGUGCCCUGGAAACUGGGAGACUGGAGGACGGCAGAGGAAAGUGGAAUUCCCAGUGUAGCGGUGAAAUGCGUAGAUAUUGGGAGGAACACCAGUGGCGAAAGCGACUUUCUGGGCCGUUCCUGACGCUGAGGUACGAAAGCCAGGGAGCAAACAGG
rnacentral:rRNA from 1 species